rnacentral:lncRNA from 1 species
UUUGAUUUGCCCUUGCCACUCUAUUAUUUUAGAUUUUGUCGGGGGAAAUUUUCAAACUAUCAAUCUAAUAUUUUAGAAGUUUUUUUUUUUUGUAGGAAUAUUUUCGAAGUGUAUAUGUAUUCAAUUCUCUAUUUUAAGAUGAAUUAGAUUAAAAUUUUGAUAAGUUUUCUAAAAUUGGUGUUCUUGAACUGAUAAUUUUGAAAACUUCUUUUUA